rnacentral:rRNA from 1 species
UACGUAGGCAGCGAGCGUUGUUCGGAGUUACUGGGCGUAAAGCGUGCGCAGGCGGUUGUGCAAGACAGGUGUGAAAUCCCCGGGCUUAACCUGGGAACUGCACUUGUGACUGCACAGCUGGAGUACGGCAGAGGGGGAUGGAAUUCCGCGUGUAGCAGUGAAAUGCGUAGAUAUGCGGAGGAACACCGAUGGCGAAGGCAGUCCCCUGGGCCUGUACUGACGCUCAUGCACGAAAGCGUGGGGAGCAAACAGG